rnacentral:rRNA from 1 species
ACACGUAAACAACCUGCCUUCAGGAUGGGGACAACAGACGGAAACGACUGCUAAUACCGAAUAAGUUCCAAGAGCCGCAUGGCCCAUGGAAGAAAAGGUGGCCUCUACCUGUAAGCUAUCGCCUGAAGAGGGGUUUGCGUCUGAUUAGCUGGUUGGAGGGGGUAACGGGCCCACCCAAGGCGACGAUCAGUAGCCGGUCUGAGAGGAUGAACGGCCACACUGGAACUGAGACACGGUCCAGACUCCUACGGGAGGCAGCAUG